UACGGGGGGGGCAAGCGUUGUUCGGAAUUACUGGGCGUAAAGGGCUCGUAGGCGGCCAACUAAGUCAGACGUGAGAUCCCUCGGCUUAACCGGGGAACUGCAUCUGAUACUGGAUGGCUUGAGAUUGGGAGAGGGAUGCGGAAUUCCAGGUGUAGCGGUGAAAUGCGUAGAUAUCUGGAGGAACACCGGUGGCGAAGGCGGCAUCCUGGACCAACACUGACGCUGAGGAGCGAAAGCCAGGGGAGCAAACGGG
rnacentral:rRNA from 1 species